UAUUAUAUUAUAUAUAAGUAAUUUCAUUACUUAUAUAAACAAUCGUUGGGUUUUAUUCUGGCUCCGAGUGAACGCUGGUAACAUAUUUUAACACAUGCAAAUCGAACGAAAAGCAAAUUGCUUUGAGUGGUGACCUGGUGAGUAGUAUAGGAGAAUUGAGGUGUGGGUUAGGCUAAAUACCUGAAUUUACUAAAAAGUAAAAGAUUUAUAUCGCCUACAAUAGAGCUUCUAAAGGAUUAGGUAGUUGUUGUAGUAAUUAUUCAACAAGCCGACGAUGCUUAGCUGGUUUGAGAGAAUGAUCAGCCACAUUGGGACUGAAAACGGCCCAAGUCUUCUAAAAGGGCAGCAGUGGAGAAUAUUUGACAAUGGGCGAAGCUUGAUCGAGUAAUGUUACGUGGGUGAUCAGAAGGCUUAAUUGCUGUAAAACUCGUUUCGUCAAGGAUUAUAGUGCAAUCGUACUUGAAGGAGAAGCCCUGACUAACUUCGUGCCAGCAGUCGCGGUAAUACGGAGAGGGCAAGUGUUAUUCGCAUUGACUGGGUGUAAAGGGUGCGUAGGUGGCUUGUUAAGUUUCAAAGUAAAGGUUAAACUCAAAGUUUAAAGGCUUUUUAAUACUAACAGGCUAGAGUUUACUAGAAGAUAGCUGAACAUUAAGUGUAAAGGUGAAAUUUUUCGAUAUUUAAAGGACAUGCAAUAGGCGAAGGCUGCUAUCUAUUUUAAUACUGACACUGAGGCACAAAAGCAUAGGGAUCAAACAGGAUUAGAGACCCUGGUAGUCUAUGCCCUGACCGAUGAAUAUUGAUUAUACUGCAAGGUAUAAUUAAGCUAACGCGUAAAUAUUCCACCUGAGUACUACGACCGCAAGGUUAAAACUCAAAGAAACUGACGGAAGAUUGUAUAAGCGGUGGAGUAUGUGGUUUAAUUUGAUAUAACGCAAAGAAUCUUACCAACCCUUGAAUACAGGUUAUCUUAGUUGUAAUUCGGGUUUCCCGCUAUUACUAGCUUUUUUAUAUAAUAUAUAGAAUAUAUUAUAUUGACUUGUACAGGUGCUGCAUGGUUGUCGGCAGUUCGUGUUGUGAAAUGUUUUGUUAAUUCAUUUAACGGACGUAACCUUCGGCUUUAUUUGUUUUCAAAAAAAAUAAAGCAACAUUAAUUUGAAAAUUAAUUGAGAGGAGAGGAAGUCAAAUCAUUAUGGCCUAUAUAGGUUGGGCUACACACGUACUACAAUGGUAAUUACAAUGUGAAGCAAAAAUGCGAGUUUUAGCUAAUCAUUAAAAAUUAACCUUAGUUCUGAUUAUUCUCUGCAAGUCGAGAGUAUGAAGUAGGAAUCGCUAGUAAUCGCAGAAUAGAAUGCUGCGGUGAAUAUAUUCUCAAUCUUUGUACACACCGCCCGUCACGCCAUGGGAAUUGGUUUGAUUAGAAGUGGUAUAGACCAGGAUUCAGGUUUCUUUUAAUUUUUUUUUAAACUUAUCGUUUCUUGGCACUAGUCGCGACAAUUAGAUUAAGGACUGGGGUGAAGUCGUAACAAGGUAGCGGUAGGGGAACCUGCUGCUGGACAAAAUUUUGCAUGUGUU
rnacentral:rRNA from 1 species